rnacentral:rRNA from 1 species
AGAUAAGUCGAAACAAAGUAGAAAAACCUGAAGGUUUUUCUAAAGGCGGUUAGAAUUUUCACUUACAAUGAAAAAUACCCUUUAGGGCGCUUUUAUAUUGGUAAAUAUUUAAUAAAGAGUAAGAAACUUUAGUGGGUAUACCUUUUGUAUCAGGGGAAGUUAAAAGUGUAAGUAAUAAAGGAUCGAUUUAAGCAGAGCUUAAUACAAAAUAGUUAUAGUUAAAUUUAUAGCUUUAAUAGAUUAUGUGGUGAAAAAUGUACGGUGCUUAUGGUAGCUAUUUGUUUUUUUAUUGAAGGGUAAGCUUUCAUUGACUUAAUUGUGUAAAAGGUAUAGGGAAUUAGGCUUUGGAUUAGCCAGAUUACUAAAUUGUUUUAAAUAACCUAAUAGUGUAAGAUAAAUCUUAAGGUUAAAAGACUCGGCCUAUUAAUUUGGAUAGGUCUGAAUAAUGAGUUUAUUGAAUAUAGGAUGAAAUACUUAAAUAACUCAAAGUAAGUUAGAAUGUUUAGCAAAAACAUUUUCUUUUGGUGUAAGUAAGAUAAGACCUGCCCGGUGAUUUUUAACGGCUGCGGUAUUUUGACUGUGCUAAGGUAGCAUAAUCAUUU